rnacentral:piRNA from 1 species
UAACAAAUGAAAAUCUGGUCAUGGAA